rnacentral:tRNA from 1 species
GGACCCGUAGCUCAGUUGGAUCAGAGCGCUCCCCUCCUAAGGGAGAGGCCGUGGGUUCAAUCCCCACCGGGUCCG